rnacentral:lncRNA from 1 species
GCCAGACCCACUGGGAUCCCCUGUCCCUGGGACAGACGUCAACAGGCAUCAUUCUUUAGAGUUUUAGAAUCCCUGCUAUUGCUCUGCUGUCCCUUGUUGCUAGGCUACCACAAUGGAUGUGGAAAAGACAGUUAACUUCCCAAAGAAAAAAAUCUCCGUUACAAAGCUGCAGUAACCUCUCAAAACAUCUCACAAAUCAGAUCCAGGCAUGAGAAUAGGUGAAGAAUCACCACAUAGCCAUCAUUUCUGGAAAACUCAUUCAAAGUGGAACAGAAACAGUGGUUUUGUGCUCAAACCAAGGCAUGUUUACAUCCAGAACCAAUGCUAAGGAAACAGCCACACUGCUGUCUGAGAGGGGUGCACACCCAGAAAUGCAUUGGUUUACAGGCAAUCAGUGGUGUCACCACAGACCAACCCCUUAUUGUGAUGAUCUGCUUUCCCUGGGACCCGCCGGCCCCAGACAGAAGACCCCACCCGGCCACAUUCUCAUGAAAGCUUCUUUCCUAACACAGGAUUGCACAAGUGAUUCAUUGUGCCUGAUUAGCUGGUAGUUUGCUCACUGUUCACCUGCAACUGCUGCUCCAUCUUCCCUGUUGCUUGUCCAAAGACACCAGCUACUUUCUCCCAGCCAGUUGCUGUAUCUCUCCCUGGAUGCAUUUGUAGACCCAGGUGAACCUGUAUCCGCUUCACUUUCUGCUCUGACAGGAAGUACAGAGUUUCCCUAUGGAGAGAACCAUGUGAACAAGAAACUGAUGUCUUUGGACAACAGCCAGCGAGGAUCUGAGACCUGCCAAGAAUUACAUAAAUGUGUUUGUGGAAGUGGAUAUUCAUCUAGCCCAGCCUCGUAUGAUUGGUGCUCCAGCCAACAACUUCAUGACACCCUUGCAAAGCAUCUUGAUCCUGAGAAAUCCACUUAAACUUUGCCCCGAUUCCUGACCCACAGCUUUGGGAUAAUGAACGUCUGAUGUUUUCAGCCACUAAGUUUUGGUAAUUUUUUGUGCCCUGGAAGCUAACAAGUAUAUUUGUUAUCAUUGCAUCUCUCCUUACAAUUUUUUCAAUGUACCCUUAAGUUUGCCUCCCUUCCAAUAUUUGCUUUUACCCUGAGUUUUAGUCUAUUAAUUUCUUACAUUGGCUUAUAGUAAUUAUCUACAUAAUUAUCUAUUAUUUAUAGAACAUAUACUACGUAUUACAAUACAUAGUAGAAAAAAAUUUAGCUUGUUAUUAUGGAGUACUUUAAGUAUAUACAAAAGUAAAGUAAACAAAUAUAAUGGACCCCCAUGCACCUAUCACCUAGCUUCAACACUUAUGGUCAAUAUUGAUAUAGCACAACAAUAUUGACAAAACAACCCAUAGUCAAUAUCAUUUCACCUCUAUGUUUACCCAUUCUUCUCCCUCAGAUUAUUUUCAAGGAAG